rnacentral:rRNA from 1 species
UACGUAGGUGGCAAGCGUUGUCCGGAAUUAUUGGGCGUAAAGCGCGCGCAGGCGGUCCUUUAAGUCUGAUGUGAAAGCCCACGGCUCAACCGUGGAGGGUCAUUGGAAACUGGGGGACUUGAGUGCAGGAGAGAAGAGUGGAAUUCCACGUGUAGCGGUGAAAUGCGUAGGAGAUGUGGAGGAACACCCGUGGCGAAGGCGGCUCUCUGGGACGGUACUGACGCUGAGACGCGAAAGCGUGGGGAGCGAACAGGG